GACGAACGCUGGCGGCGUGCCUAAUACAUGCAAGUAGAACGCAGUUGGAACGGGUGAGUAACGCGUAGGUAACCUCCCCAUAGCGGGGAUAACUUUUGGAAACGAUAGCUAAACCGAUAAUUUGGGAUGGACCGGCGUGGUAUUAGCCAGUUGGUGAGGUAAAGGCUGACCAAGGCCACGAUACAUAGCCGACCUGAGAGGGGGAUCGGCCACACUGGGACUGAGACACGGCCCAGACUCCUACGGGAGGCAGCAGUAGGGAAUCUUCGGCAAUGGACGGAAGUCUGACCGAGCAACGCCGCGUGAGUGAAGAAGGUUUUCGGAUCGUAAAACUCUGUUGUUAGAGAAGCGGUAUCUAACCAGAAAGCCACGGCUAACUACGUGCCAGCAGCCGCGGUAAUAC
rnacentral:rRNA from 1 species